CUCUACUUUCUAUUUCCAGGGCUCUCUCGGUGUCGUCUGCAAUGAGUCGUCACAAGCCCGGAAGCAGCAGAUAACAUUCAAAUGAGGACGCAAGUUCCGGUUUUGCGGACGUUUGGAGAGCCAAUACGGACUAGCAGAAGCCCCUGCAUGUGACAGUAAACGAUUCUGUCUUUUGAACUCCAUGAUCGAUAUUCGAUAACCCAGGACCUCCCAGUAAACCAGUUUCGUCUCCUCUGCCCGGUCGCACGGUGAGAAGCUCUGGCCAGGGCCAGUAAUCGAAUCCUUCCCUAAGCCAUGUGAUUACACCAGAGGUCACCAGAACUGGAGUCUGCAGCCGUGACAACUCUUCAAAAUACGUGAUUGCCCAACAAUGGGCGAUAACUCCAGGCGGCUAAAGCAAAUUUGCCUUGCAACCACGCACCUUGUGAACCUGGCGUCCGGUAUACCCAGAUAUUGGACAGUCUCCUUUUUGAUGCUGAGUCUUGCGGGUGAGUAGUUGUGUACGAGACGUGUUUUUUGGACAACUUCCCGUUUUAAGGGAAUAUUCAAGUUCAAUUGACUUAUUAUGUUACAGGGCUUUUUGGAUAAAAUGUUGCUGCCCAACAAGACAAGAAUCUGUGUUCUGAGAAGAGAAGCAGGAAAA